CAGGACCCAGGAGGAGACAGUGGGCUGUAGGAGCCCCAACUGGCUGCUGGGAAAGGAAGCGGGGCGGCAGGAGGGGGCGGCAGGGACAGGGGCCACCCCGCCCAGCGGCCGCCGCUGCAGCGGCCGCCACCACUGCCACCGCGGCGACCGCACCCGGGCUGCAAGGAGCAGCGGCGCCUUGCGGAGGAAGGCGCUGUCGGGCCAGGGACCUGGAAGAGGAGACGCUGGAGCCCUGUGGACACAGGCUGACAACACGCUGACCAGCAGGGGGCGCUCGUCCAGGCUGACUCCUGACCCGCGCACAACACGCCCAGCCCCAGGUGCAGCAGAAAGGUCACUUUGAACAGUGGGUUUGAAGCUUCUCCUUCCAAGAGGGACAGGGUUUGAGUGUCCUCCCGAUCAAGCCAUGACCCUAAGGCUGUGACAAGCUUGCAGAACUUAAGUGUCCACCCCAAGGAUCCUCAGGGGCCUACCUUAUCCGCCUGCCAACUACCAAAAUUAACUCCAUUUUGUCAAAGGCCACAUGUAUCGCCCAUCCUCCAUCUUUCAAACUGAAUGUGGUUUUUUCUCCAGGGUUACAGAGAGGCUUUGAAAAGUAAAACUGUAUUAGAAAAAUGUAUUAGAAGAAUUUCACUCUACAAUCAUAAAGUUGAAAGAGGCAUAAGAGAUUACUAAAUUCUACCUCCUCAUCUUUGUUCCAUGUCAAAAAAUCAUUAACAACUUCUGGGUUAAAGGUUUCAAAAGAUUCUGGGUAAAUUAUCACAGAAAGUAAUAACAAUAACAGUAGCAGUAGUAAAGGGAGUGGGCAGAAGCAGUGGUAUUUCACUAGCAAACAAAAAUCAGACUGUCUCCUUACACUUAUAUGAACCACCUAACAUGGUGAAAUUCAAAGAGACAGAAAGUAGAAUGACAGUUGCCAGGGGCUGGGCAGAGGAGAGAAGGGGGUUAGUGUUUAAUGGGUAGGAUUUCUGUUACGCAAGAUGAAAACAACAGAGUUCUGGAGGUGGAUGUGGAUGGUUAUGGUGGCACAACAGUGUGAAUGUACUUAAUGCCAUUGAACUGCACCCUUAAAAAUGAUUAAGACGGUAAAUUUUAUGUGUAUUUUAACACACAUUUUUAAACCCGGGAAGGGGGAAAAAAAAAAGUUUCUCAACUGGCUAAUUUUCAUUUGGGGACCAGUAUGGCAAAGUGGUUAGCAACUGACACUCUGGAGUCCUGAGUUUUUCUCUGUCCUGCAUUUACUAACUAGCUGGGGACCUCUGAGCAAGUCAUUUGACAUCUCUGAGACUGCUUCUUCAUAUACAGAAACAAUAAUAAUAGUCUCCUAUCUCACAAGGCUGUGAGGCUAAGAAAACAAGGUAACAGACACUCACUGGCAGAAACGUAACACUCUCUAAAUUAUUAUUAUGAACUUUAAUAAUAAAUUAAUCAUUUAAUGCUACUUAUAAGCCAGCAAUAAUGAAAUUAUUAAUAUUAUAUUAUCAGCUAGGUUGAUAAGUUCAUCAGAACACUUCGUUUUAAGGGUAAAAGAGGCCCCAGUUAGGAGUCAGAAGCCCUGAACUUCAAAAGUGGCUGUGGGUGUGAGAUUUCUCCUCGGUGACAAGCAGGGCUGACGGAGAUGAUCUCUUAGAUUAACAGAAAGCAAAGAUCAGCUUUGCUAUUCAGCAGGAGCCAGCACUGCAGCUACACCACCUUCACCGCCUAAGCCGCUCAGGGAGCCGUCCCGGGCGAGGGAAGGGGUCCAAAGGUCAUGCCAGAGAGGCCUGACUGCAAAGCCCCUUUCUAAGCCCGAGGCAUGGUGCAAGGUUUGUGCAAGACACCCUCAAGAAUGAGAGCAAGGGUUCCACACCCUCGUUCCUCCCCUACCAAAGUCUACAAUUCAUCCCGCAGGGGGAGUUGCGAGGAACCUGCAAGCCUCCCAGGUCCUGCAGAGACCCCAAGAAAAGGCACCCCCAAACCAGCCAGGGUAGCAGAAUUAUAAAUACCUCCCCCGCACAUGCGCACUGAAAUUUACGAGUGGCCCUGGGCACAACGCAUGCCUACUGCGCCUGCGCCGUCCGGCUCUCUUUUCUGGGUACAGGACGUAAAACGGGGAGCCGACUGUCUCACGUAAAAGAAAAACAGGUCUGUGGCAGUCGCUCAAUCCCCGUUUUCUCGUUUCUUACCUCAUAGUGCUUCAUGGCUCCCCCGCACGGCGGCUGCUGCUCCUGCUACCUGCGCACGAUACACCACAGAAAACCUCACGCGGUGACGACCGCCGCGCGAGACUAACCGCGGACCCGCAUCCGCCCCGCCCCUCCCUGCCGCUCGCGCCCCUCCAGCCAAUCAGUGCGCAAGGCGCCCACCUUCGUCCCCGCCCCUCAGAGCCGGUCUGCGCAGGAACUAGCCGCUCUCGCCACGGGGCUAGCCAAUCAGCUUCCGGAACCCACCGUGGGGGGCGGAGCACGGGCAAGAGGGAGGAGGAUGGAGGAAAAAGAAGGGUCUUGGCUAUCCACCAAUCAAAGAGGGCCUCCGGUCGCGAGCGACCGUUGUCCCGCCCCUUGGUGGCGUCUCUGUGGAAACCAAGGGAAGCGACGGUUAUUGCAAGGCGGGGGGAGGGAGCUAGCAGAAGGCAACAUCCACAUGGCCGGCAGCUCGACUGGGUGAAUUCGGAGGUGGACGGCCCCCGGGGAGUACCGGGGAGCAACGGGAGAUAGCUAGGGGUUGGAGGCAUGGGCUGGGGCACCUGGAUGGAGAGGCUGCUCCGGCGAGGGAACCCCUAUCACGAAUGGGAGGAAAGUAAAGGGGAAAGAGACCCCACCCCUGAGCCUUCUUCAACUGUUGAGCGCUCCAGAACUCAGAGGCCUGGCAUCAGAGACAUGGUGAGAAGUCCUCAAAGACAGAUUGUUGGUUCACCGGAGAGCAGGGCGGGGAGAAGGUGAGUCAGUGCUCAGCACUUACUCAUCCAGGUUAGGCUCUAGAAAUUUCUGAAGCUACAACUUUUGGGGACCCCUGUCUCAGAAUAAAGGAAGCUAAGUCAUUUCCUUUUUCAGGA